rnacentral:lncRNA from 1 species
AAGUCCAUGGUUAAACGAAAAUCAAGAUGAAAACGACCCAUCACUUGCAGAAAAUCAAGGUGGUUCUUAGGUGCAGAUCACGCCUUUGAUUAAGCAUUGAUGCCCUCUUAUGGGAUACCAUUGUCCAUGCAGGUUCUUCUUUCUUUAAUUAUUCUCAUUCAAAAUUAAAAAACGAAAGAAAAAAAAAAAGAAAGAAAACCAUCAUAUCGUCCUUUCUCUCUCCGUCUCUGUAAAAUCCAUAUACAAAAUCUGUACGUAUGGUUGUUGAUUUGAUUACAGAUUUGUUUUUGUGUUCUGAUAGGAUGAGUUUGAUGCAUGGAGAUGGAGGAGUUUAUGUCUUUUGUGAAACAGACGUGGGUUGGGAGUUGCAUGAAAGGGAUAAAUAUCUGUGUGUUUUGAAAACUGUGAUAUUUUUUAAAUUUUGCAUAUUCAAGUAAGUAAUACAAAUUUGUCUUUGCCUCUCUUCUUUGGCUAUGUAAAAGGAUUUAUACACUUGUGUAUGUAAAUAUUUUCGUACUUUUGGUCAUUUAUUUUAUAUAUAGAAGUGUGAAUAUGGGAGCUUAGGGUUAAGCCUGCAAUGCCUAUAGAUUGGUCGUAGGUCGGGU